UUUCAAAGAAUCAACCAAACCAGUGAAAGACCCCCGAAGGGAGACCCUCACUCAAGCCUCGGGACAGCCGCAGACCCAAGAAGACACUGAGACCA
rnacentral:pre_miRNA from 7 species